AUCCUUUUAUGGUUUAUGAGGGCAAUGACUGGAAUCUCACCCCACCGUGUGAGGUGGGUCCCCUCAAAACUUGUUACGAGGUCGGUACUUAGACAUUUGAUG
rnacentral:snoRNA from 1 species